CUGAGCCACCCAGGCACCCCUCCAGACAAUUUUUUAUAGAAUAAAAUUACUUCCUUCAUCAAUUAUAACACAUUAAGACCGCAGUACUUACAUAGUAAUUAAACACCUGGGCUCAGGAAUCAGGCUCGCAGAAUACCUUUGAGCAAAUUACCAAAAACUUUCUCUGCACCAUUUUUUUUACCUGUAAGAUAAGAAUGAUAAAAAUAGGAGCUAUCUUAUAGGUUUGUCGUGAGGAUUAAAUGAGAUAAUAUGUCUAGAACACCUAGCACAGUGCCAAGGCACAUAAUAGGUACUCAAUAAAUGUUAGACAUUAUUAAUUGAAGAUUUCUGUCACCUCCUCAUCGGUACCAAGUUGAUGGUGUGUCCUAUUAGCCUAUGAAUAGUGUUCAGGAGCCCUCCAAACCCUUUGCAAUUUGAUGUUAAAUUUUCUUUAUGCAUUCUGCUGUGAAACAGAUAUACAGAGAGCUCUUCCCAGAUUCUCAAAGGGGGUCUGUAACACUGUACUGAACUCUAGAAGCUAGCUUCUCAAAAACUGCCCUUGACUGGCAAUGUCUGCAUUCCCUGAGACUUCUCAGGCAGACUCAGACUGCACUCAAGAAUGACUAAAUCAAAAUCUGCACUUCAACAAGAUGCCAAGUGAUUCCUGUGCACAUGCACAUCUGAGAAGCAUGCUCCAGAAAUUUUCCAAAUUUCCCUGAUAAUGAGAAUAACCUAGUAUGCUUAUCAAAUAUGCAGAUGAUCUGAUGUCUUCCUUGGAAAUCAUGAUUCAUUAAGUCUGGAUUAUUUUUAUAUUUAAGGAGGAAAUACCAGUCUCAAAGAUGAAGCUAUCUGCAAGCGAAGAAUUGUGGGAGCCAGAAGGAGAUUUGAAUCCAGACAGAAGAGAAGGCAAGGUACUUUGUCAACACCUUGAUUUCAGUCCAGUGAAACUGAUGUUAAACUUCUGGUCUCCAGAACUGUGAGGGAAUAAACUACUAUCGUUUUAAGUCCUCAAGUUUGUGGUGACUUGCCACAGCAGACACCGGAAACUAAUACAGAAACAGCACUUUUCUUCAUGACAGACGCUCCAAGGACACGGAAGGGGUUGAACUACAGAUCCAGCUGCAACCUGAGGAGGUAUCUCAACAACCACACAAUAAUGGAGGAAAGAGAUAACUGAGGAAGUGGGGCUCUGAGCACAGAUCUAGCUUGGACAUGAGCAGAUUUUUCUUUAAUGUUUUGCAUAUUAAGUUUGAUAUACAAUUUUAUGUGGAAAAAAAAUCUUUCACUUACUCAUUUUUGAAAAUCCUGGACUCUGGACAAUUCUUCACAUUGAACAAACAAAAGUUUCCAUAAUUGCCGAAUCUUCUAUGUUUGAUGUUUCUGGGAAGUAGGCUCUCCAUAAAGGUGUGAUUUAAUGCAGAUUGGGGACAUAAGUCUGAACAAGCUCAUUAGUCUGCAUAUUACCUACAGGAUUUAUUGAUGAUGGUGUGAAACUAUCUGACAGCCGUCAGCCAGGAACAAUGUAUGCAUAAACCAGGGGAUGAGAAACAGGGUCAACAAACAUCAUGUGGUCAGAAAAUGUCGUUACCUAGGUUAACUACUAAUGAAUUGUUUUAACUUUAGAAACUUCUUCUUGCUCUGACAGGACUAUUUUUUUUUAAUGACUAUUUUAAAAAGAUUUUUCACUGAAACCUUAGGUGGCUUGGAUUUGCCAUCACAAAAUAAUUUUGGCGGGGCAUCUAGGUGGCUCAGUCACUUAGGCAUUUGGCUCUUGAUUUUGGCUCAGGACAUGAUCUUACAGUUCAUGAGUUCGAGCCCCGCAUUGGGCUCUGUGCUGACAGUGAAGAGCCUGCUUGGAAU